GCAAUGUUUCUUGCUCAAAUGAGUAUUCCAAGUUCGAGCACCAAAUGUGUCAAAAUGCAAUUUAAUGCACAUUUUGGUGUUUGCUUUUGCGAUGCUCAUUUCAGUAAGAAAUGUUGC
rfam:Cucumis sativus cultivar 9930 chromosome 3, whole genome shotgun sequence.